AGCAGCCGCGGUAAUUCCAGCUCCAAUAGCGUAUAUUAAAGUUGUUGCAGUUAAAAAGCUCGUAGUUGAAUUUCGGGAUCAGUACGCUGGUCGUGCCUUCGGUAUGAACUGGUGUCACUGAUUCCUCCCUUCUGAAGAACCGUCAUGCCAUUCAGUUGGUGUGGCGGGAAAUCAGGACUGUUACCUUGAAAAAUUAGAGUGUUUAAAGCAGGCUCGCGCUUGAAUACAUUAGCAUGGAAUAAUGAAAUAGGACGUUUGACCCUAUUUUGUUGGUUUCUAGGAUCGACGUAAUGAUUAAUAGGGAUAGUUGGGGGCAUUAGAUUCAAUUGUCAGAGGUGAAAUUCUUGGAUUUAUGAAGACUAACUACUGCGAAAGCAUUUGCCUAAGGAUGUUUUCAUUAAUCAAGAACGAAAGUUAGGGGAUCGAAGACGAUCAGAUACCGUCGUAGUCUUAACCAUAAACCUAUGCCGACUAGGAUCGGAUGAUGUUAAUUUUAUGA
rnacentral:rRNA from 1 species